rnacentral:rRNA from 1 species
GAUGAACGCUGGCGGCGUGCCUAAUACAUGCAAGUCGAGCGAACGGACGAGAAGCUUGCUUCUCUGAUGUUAGCGGCGGACGGGUGAGUAACACGUGGAUAACCUACCUAUAAGACUGGGAUAACUUCGGGAAACCGGAGCUAAUACCGGAUAAUAUUUUGAACCGCAUGGUUCAAAAGUGAAAGACGGUCUUGCUGUCACUUAUAGAUGGAUCCGCGCUGCAUUAGCUAGUUGGUAAGGUAACGGCUUACCAAGGCAACGAUGCAUAGCCGACCUGAGAGGGUGAUCGGCCACACUGGAACUGAGACACGGUCCAGACUCCUACGGGAGGCAGCAGUAGGGAAUCUUCCGCAAUGGGCGAAAGCCUGACGGAGCAACGCCGCGUGAGUGAUGAAGGUCUUCGGAUCGUAGAACUCUGUUAUUAGGGAAGAACAUAUGUGUAAGUAACUGUGCACAUCUUGACGGUACCUAAUCAGAAAGCCACGGCUAACUACGUG